CCGUAACCUAUGAAUGUCAAUACCCCCCUUAACCGUAUACAUUAUAAUUUGGGGCAUUCUAACCUGCGAAAGAAAUGAUUUAAGAUUGUGGUGAUUCCGUGUAUGUGAAAAAGAUUGUGUGGAGUGUAUUUAAUUUUCUAGUAUAAGCUCAGUGAUGAACGAAUGCUAGAAAUCUAACCCCUAUAAAUUUCGCUUCUUUUUAUUAGAGAAGAAGCAUUGCACGUAUUCAGCUGAGCCUCACACCUGCACCUUUUUUACUCGAGUUAUUAAGUCCGUAGGGGUUUCUUAAAACCUGGUACCCUUUGGAAUACAAAAAAUGGGGGAGUUACCGACCUAACACUCGCUAUAGGGGUCAAGAAGUGGAAAAAAUGGUGAGGUAAAAAAAUAAAAUAAAUAAAUAAAAUUAAAAAAAGAAAAAAAGGAAAAAAAGAAAAGAAAGAGAAACUGAUCUUGGGGGCCUAGAUAAUUAGUGGGUUUGAAUCACUAAGUAUAAACUAGAUUGUUGAAACACUCAUAAAUUGGGAGAAUCACUAUAUGAAUGAAUUGUUGACGUUGCCGAUUGAACUAACCCAAAUUAGAGUGGUGUGAGAAAAUCUUAAACAAAACUGAACUUUAGAAUUACACCAUGGUAAGAGAAUAAAAGAAUCGAGUUUGGGGGUGUGUGAAUCUUACGAGUGAAGAAAGG
rnacentral:lncRNA from 1 species